GGAGGUAGUGACAAUAAAUCACAAUGCGGGACUAUUUAGUUUUGCAAUUGAAUUGAGAACAAUGUACAAGAGUUAUCGAUAAACAAUUGGAGGGCAAGUCUGGUGCCAGCAGCCGCGGUAAUUCCAGCUCCAAUAGCGUAUAUUAACGUUGUUGCAGUUAAAAAGCUCGUAGUUGAAGUGUGGGAUAAUGUAUAUUGGAUCUUUUAGUGAAGAUAUAUGUUGUCCCCCCUCCAAUUUCGGUCUGUGGGUAUUAAUUUACUUGCAGUUCGUGUUGGUCAUUUACUGUGAGAAAAUUAGAGUGUUCAAAGCAGGCAUUUGCUUGAAUAUAUUAGCAUGGAAUAAUAUUAAAAGGCUUGUAUGGUCGAUUUAAUUGGUUUGUUCAUAUAAGCAAGAUUAAUAGGGACAGUUGGGGGUAUUCAUAUUCAAUAGUUAGAGGUGAAAUUCUCGGAUUUAUGGAAGAUGAACAAGUGCG
rnacentral:rRNA from 1 species